rnacentral:rRNA from 1 species
AACGAACGCUGGCGGCAGGCUUAACACAUGCAAGUCGAACGCAUCCUUCGGGGUGAGUGGCAGACGGGUGAGUAACGCGUGGGAACGUGCCCUUCAGUUCGGGAUAACCCAGGGAAACUUGGGCUAAUACCGGAUACGUGCGAGAGCAGAAAGAUUUAUCGCUGAAGGAUCGGCCCGCGUCUGAUUAGCUAGUUGGUGGGGUAAUGGCCCACCAAGGCGACGAUCAGUAGCUGGUCUGAGAGGAUGAUCAGCCACACUGGGACUGAGACACGGCCCAGACUCCUACGGGAGGCAGCAGUGGGGAAUAUUGGACAAUGGGCGCAAGCCUGAUCCAGCCAUGCCGCGUGAGUGAUGAAGGCCUCAGGGUUGUAAAGCUCUUUCGUCCGGGACGAUAAUGACGGUACCGGAAGAAGAAGCCCCGGCUAACCUCGUGCCAGCCGCCGCCGUAA